GAUGAACGCUGGCGGCGUGCCUAAUACAUGCAAGUCGAGCGAACGGACGAGAAGCUUGCUUCUCUGAUGUUAGCGGCGGACGGGUGAGUAACACGUGGAUAACCUACCUAUAAGACUGGGAUAACUUCGGGAAACCGGAGCUAAUACCGGAUAAUAUUUUGAACCGCAUGGUUCAAAAGUGAAAGACGGUCUUGCUGUCACUUAUAGAUGGAUCCGCGCUGCAUUAGCUAGUUGGUAAGGUAACGGCUUACCAAGGCAACGAUGCAUAGCCGACCUGAGAGGGUGAUCGGCCACACUGGAACUGAGACACGGUCCAGACUCCUACGGGAGGCAGCAGUAGGGAAUCUUCCGCAAUGGGCGAAAGCCUGACGGAGCAACGCCGCGUGAGUGAUGAAGGUCUUCGGAUCGUAAAACUCUGUUAUUAGGGAAGAACAUAUGUGUAAGUAACUGUCCAUAUCUUGACGGUACCUAAUCAGAAAGCCACGGCUAACUACGUG
rnacentral:rRNA from 1 species